rnacentral:lncRNA from 1 species
GGGGACUAGGAUCCUCAGAGGAGGUGUUAGUAUAUGAUAUCUUUUUGAGAGUGUACUUGAAAGUGUGCUGGAGCUGGCUCAUAUCAGCUUGCAAGGGACAACUGUGAGAAUGUCUCCCCCAUUCUGCAUUCAGUGAUCUCAUUUUGGUAGCCUGAGAUUGGCAAUGGUGAGAGUAUUUACAUCUCAGAAACUAGAUGAUGUUAUAACUCAGAGAUUUUUUUUUUUUCCGGAGAGCUGGUUUACCAAUAUCAUUUCUUGAAAGUAUCACAGAAAUCUAUAAUCCUUCUGAAAGGCUUAAUAUCAUCAUAAGUGAUAUGAUUUUAUACAAUUCAAGAAACAUUUCUUGAAUUCCUAUUACUAUUCUAAAUGAGUUAUCCUAAUGUAUCCUGUCCUGAGUUGAGCAUGUCACUCAAUUAUCUUGUUUAUUCUGAUACUAAUCACAUGAGAUGUCACUAUACUAUUAAAUCACUUGCCCAAGAUCACUAACUAGUAAGUGGUGCUAGGAUCUGAACCCAGCAAUGUCUAUUAGCAGAACCUAUGCUCUGAAGUCCUACGCUAGGUGACGAAGGUGACGUCAGCGUCCUUCCACCUGAAAUGAUGAACAUAAUGGUGAUAGUCAUAACAAUAGCAAAGUUAUUAUACAAUAUUUAACAUGUGCCAAGCAAUUGUUUAAUAUCAUUCUAUAUAUUCUUAUGAGUAUACAUUAAUACAUUAAUAUUUAUUACUAUAUAUUAUUUAUUAAAUCCUUAUGCAACUCUGUGAGGUAGUUAUUCUACCCAUUUUACAGAUGAGGAAACAGGAAAUUGCUUUUUUUUUUUUUUUUUUUUUUUUUUUUUUUUACUUGAGACAACGGAGCUGAUAUAGUAAGUAAAUGGCAGGUCCUGGAUUCAAGCUAAGGUCUUCAGAGUGCUUGUGCCAAGCUUCUUCGAAUAAGAGUUUUGAUAUAUUUCACUGGGUUAUGCAAAUUAUCUAGACAUUGACACCUUUCUUCAUAUGAUAACAAAUUUUAUUAGUAUCACUUCUGAUGUCACCAUUGGCUUGAAAACUCAAACUUUAUCAUUGCCAACAAACACUGUCGGUUGUUGUGCUGGAGGUGACAAGCUCACUUUAUUUGUUUUUGUGACAAUGUCUGCCAAAUAUUGCAGUCUCAGUAACCAUAGUUUUUCUGUCAAUUAUUCUCUCAAGUAAAAACAGUAUUCCGUGGGAAGCAAUGAGUUUCCUCUGUAAUUCAAACAAUCACACAAGGGCUUUUUUUCUCGAAACUGAUAUACAUCCUAGUUCAGCACACAGCAGAAGUGCCUUAAGUGUAAUUCUCAUUUUAGCACCCAGAAAAUGAAAAAAAAAAAAAAAGAUGUCUACCGAGGGGUCAAUAUUUAAUAAAGUUCAUGAUUUGUACUGCUUCA